CAAGAUCUGAUUGAUGCACCUCUUGGUA
rnacentral:sRNA from 1 species